rnacentral:rRNA from 1 species
UGGGGAAUAUUGGACAAUGGGCGCAAGCCUGAUCCAGCCAUGCCGCGUGAGUGAUGAAGGCCUUAGGGUUGUAAAGCUCUUUUUGGCGGGGACGAUAAUGACGGUACCCGCAGAAUAAGCCCCGGCUAACUUCGUGCCAGCAGCCGCGGUAAUACGAAGGGGGCUAGCGUUGUUCGGAAUCACUGGGCGUAAAGCGCACGUAGGCGGACCUUCAAGUCAGGGGUGAAAUCCCGGGGCUCAACCUCGGAACUGCCUUUGAUACUGUUGGUCUCGAGUCCGGAAGAGGUGGGUGGAAUUCCUAGUGUAGAGGUGAAAUUCGUAGAUAUUAGGAAGAACACCGGUGGCGAAGGCGGCCCACUGGUCCGGUACUGACGCUGAGGUGCGAAAGCGUGGGGAGCAAACAGGAUUAGAUACCCUUGUAGUCCCUGAGCGGGCUGGCAAGGCGCAU